AACGCGAAGAACCUUACCACCCCUUGACAUCUCCAGGACCGGUCGCAGAGACGGGUCCUUCUCUUAGGGGGUUGGAACACAGGUGCUGCAUGGCUGUCGUCAGCUCGUGUCGUGAGAUGUUGGGUUAAGUCCCGCAACGAGCGCAACCCUCGUCUUUACUUCCCAUCAUUCAGUUGGGCACUUUAAGGGGACUGCCGGUGAUAAGCCGCGAGGAAGGUGGGGAUGACGUCAAGUCCUCAUGGCCCUUACGGCAGGGGCUACACACGUGUUCAAAUGGCGGUGACAAUGGGCAGCAAACCCGCAGGGGGGACCUAUUCUCAAAAAGCCCUCUCAGUUCGGAUAGCACUCUGCAACUCGAGUGCAUGAAGUUGGAAUCGCUAGUAAUCGCGGAUCACCAUGCCCCGGUGAAUACUUUCCCGGGUCUUGUACACACCG
rnacentral:rRNA from 1 species